rnacentral:siRNA from 1 species
UCGUGGAGAAUGAAAUCACAUU